UACGUAGGGUGCAAGCGUUGUCCGGAAUUAUUGGGCGUAAAGAGCUUGUAGGCGGUUUGUCGCGUCUGCUGUGAAAUUUCGGGGCUCAACCCCGAACUUGCAGUGGGUACGGGCAGACUAGAGUGUGGUAGGGGAGACUGGAAUUCCUGGUGUAGCGGUGGAAUGCGCAGAUAUCAGGAGGAACACCGAUGGCGAAGGCAGUUCUCUGGGCCGUAACUGACGCUGAGGAGCGAAAGCGUGGGGAGCGAACAGG
rnacentral:rRNA from 1 species